rnacentral:rRNA from 1 species
AGAGUUUGAUCCUGGCUCAGGAUGAACGCUGGCGGCGUGCUAUACAUGCAAGUCGAGCGAACAGAUGAGGAGCUUGCUCCUUUGACGUUAGCGGCGGACGGGUGAGUAACACGUAGGUAACCUACCUAUAAGACUGGGAUAACUUCGGGAAACCGGAGCUAAUACCGGAUAAUAUUUCGAACUGCAUGGUUCGAUAGUGAAAGAUGGCUUUGCUAUCACUUAUAGAUGGACCUGCGCCGUAUUAGCUAGUUGGUAAGGUAACGGCUUACCAAGGCAACGAUACGUAGCCGACCUGAGAGGGUGAUCGGCCACACUGGAACUGAGACACGGUCCAGACUCCUACGGGAGGCAGCAGUAGGGAAUCUUCCGCAAUGGGCGCAAGCCUGACGGAGCAACGCCGCGUGAGUGAUGAAGGUCUUCGGAUCGUAAAACUCUGUUAUUAGGGAAGAACAAACGUGUAAGUAACUGUGCACGUCUUGACGGUACCUAAUCAGAAAGCCACGGCUAACUACGUGCCAGCAGCCGCGGUAAUACGUAGGUGGCAAGCGUUAUCCGGAAUUAUUGGGCGUAAAGCGCGCGUAGGCGGUUUUUUAAGUCUGAUGUGAAAGCCCACGGCUCAACCGUGGAGGGUCAUUGGAAACUGGAAAACUUGAGUGCAGAAGAGGAAAGUGGAAUUCCAUGUGUAGCGGUGAAAUGCGCAGAGAUAUGGAGGAACACCAGUGGCGAAGGCGACUUUCUGGUCUGUAACUGACGCUGAUGUGCGAAAGCGUGGGGAUCAAACAGGAUUAGAUACCCUGGUAGUCCACGCCGUAAACGAUGAGUGCUAAGUGUUAGGGGGUUUCCGCCCCUUAGUGCUGCAGCUAACGCAUUAAGCACUCCGCCUGGGGAGUACGACCGCAAGGUUGAAACUCAAAGGAAUUGACGG